rnacentral:rRNA from 1 species
AUUGAACGCUGGCGGCAUGCCUUACACAUGCAAGUCGAACGGUAACAGGUUAAGCUGACGAGUGGCGAACGGGUGAGUAAUGUAUCGGAACGUGCCCAGUCGUGGGGGAUAACGUAGCGAAAGCUACGCUAAUACCGCAUACGAUCUACGGAUGAAAGCGGGGGAUCGCAAGACCUCGCGCGAUUGGAGCGGCCGAUAUCAGAUUAGGUUGUUGGUGAGGUAAAAGCUCACCAAGCCUGCGAUCUGUAGCUGGUCUGAGAGGACGACUAGCCACACUGGAACUGAGACACGGUCCAGACUCCUACGGGAGGCAGCAGUGGGGAAUUUUGGACAAUGGACGCAAGUCUGAUCCAGCAAUGCCACGUGCAGGACGAAGGCCUUCGGGUUGUAAACUGCUUUUGUACGGAACGAAACGGUGAGCUCUAAUACAGUUUGCUAAUGACGGUACCGUAAGAAUAAGCACCGGCUAACUACGUGCCAGCCGCCGCGGUAA